UACGGGGGGGGCAAGCGUUGUUCGGAAUUACGGGGCGUAAAGGGCUCGUAGGCGGCCAACUAAGUCGGACGUGAAAUCCCCAGGCUCAACCUGGGAACUGCGUCCGAUACUGGAUGGCUUGAAUCCGGGAGAGGGAUGUGGAAUUCCAGGUGUAGCGGUGAAAUGCGUAGAUAUCUGGAGGAACACCGGUGGCGAAGGCGGCAUCCUGGACCGGCAUUGACGCUGAGGCGCGAAAGCCAGGGGAGCAAACGGG
rnacentral:rRNA from 1 species